rnacentral:lncRNA from 1 species
GGAGCAGUCCACAGCAGAGGGAAAGGAGGAGUGAGUGUAUUCACCCAGCUCCCUCCUGUGUCUUAUUUCUCAUUGUUCAAGGCUUACUCCCUAGGGGGCUCACUCCCACACUCUAGAUCUUGUCAUCUGGCUACACAGGAGCUAAUUCCCACUCGACUUAGUGUUUCAUCUGAGUCUGAAAGUGGAGGGGCAACUCAGCAUGGGUCAGACACCAACCGAGAGAGAAAGAAGGAAGGAGUCAGGAACCUGAAAUAGAACAAGUCCAUCUGCAGUCUUGGAUUUUCUCUGAGUUCUUCUGAAUAAGAAGUCAACAUUCCAUUGUUGCCCAAAUAAACAGAAGUGGAUGCACUAUUGUGAGAAGGAGUGGAACCAGAUGAAACAUAAACCAUAAAUCUCCUCUGCCUGGUCAGAUCAGGCCAACUGGGAACCUUCCAGCAGAUAAUGGUGCAUCAUGCCCCAUUAUGUACUGGCCCUUGCUUUGCCUUCUGCAUUGGCCCUCCGCAGCAACAUACAGGACCCCGAAGAACCACAGCCAAUGAAUGCGGCAGGGGGAAGGGCGUAGGGUGCAGUUUCAGGAGCAGCAGAGCUGUGAGAGCAGAGAAGGAAGUACUCAGGGCGAGAAACAAUGACUGAAGAAAAGCCAGAGUGAAUUCCUGAGACGGAAGGUUUUCCAUCCGGAGCUUCAGCUGGAUUGCAGUCACAGUGAAGUGAGUAAAUCCCUGUGAUGUCACCAAAACAAAUACCCGGGAGAUUCGCAAACUACCUGCUCCAAGUCAACACUCCCACUCUGGAAAAGAAUACUUCAAGAAAACAAAUGCUGAUUUUUCAUGAGUAAAAUGUUCCUGUUCCUUCUUGUUUUCAACUAAGACACAAGUAGAUUGCUGAGCUACAACAUGGAAAAUUUGAGCAUUUUGAAAAGGCUGGAGCUUUCAAAAUACCACCAAUAUAACUAAAGUUUAUUGUCUAUAACCAUCUACUGUCCCACAUGCUUAUCUGGAAAGGCGUGCCCUGCAAAGGAUGUGGAACCGUAAAAGGCAAUUGUCCUUGGUAGAGACAACAGCUUCCUGGAAUUCAACAGUCCUGUUUCCUGUAAUUUUCAUCUUUGGGAAAACCAUUAUUUCUAUGAGAUGUGACAUUUAUUUAUGGUAUUGUUUUUUAAAAAAUUGUCUAACUUGAGCCAUUUUCUAAUACCUACAUAAGGACAAAAUUAU